AUUGAACGCUGGCGGCAGGCUUAACACAUGCAAGUCGAACGGUAGCAGGAGAAAGGUUGCUUUCUUGCUGACGAGUGGCGGACGGGCGAGUAAUGCUUGGGAAUCUGGCUUAUGGAGGGGGAUAACGACGGGAAACUGUCGCUAAUACCGCGUAUUAUCGGAAGAUGAAAGUGCGGGACUGAGAGGCCGCAUGCCAUAGGAUGAGCCCAAGUGGGAUUAGGUAGUUGGUGGGGUAAAUGCCUACCAAGCCUGCGAUCUCUAGCUGGUCUGAGAGGAUGACCAGCCACACUGGAACUGAGACACGGUCCAGACUCCUACGGGAGGCAGCAGUGGGGAAUAUUGCGCAAUGGGGGGAACCCUGACGCAGCCAUGCCGCGUGAAUGAAGAAGGCCUUAGGGUUGUAAAGUUCUUUCGGUAUUGAGGAAGGUUGAUGUGUUAAUAGCACAUCAAAUUGACGUUAAAUACAGAAGAAGCACCGGCUAACUCCGUGCCAGCAGCCGCGGUAAUACGGAGGGUGCGAGCGUUAAUCGGAAUAACUGGGCGUAAAGGGCACGCAGGCGGUUAUUUAAGUGAGGUGUGAAAGCCCCGGGCUUAACCUGGGAAUUGCAUUUCAGACUGGGUAACUAGAGUACUUUAGGGAGGGGUAGAAUUCCACGUGUAGCGGUGAAAUGCGUAGAGAUGUGGAGGAAUACCGAAGGCGAAGGCAGCCCCUUGGGAAUGUACUGACGCUCAUGUGCGAAAGCGUGGGGAGCAAACAGG
rnacentral:rRNA from 1 species